AGAGGAGAGGGGACCUCAGGCAAGACUCCGGGCCCGCAUGAUUGGCUGGGGAAGCUGCUUUAAUGGCUGGGCCUCCUUGGCAGCGGGCUCGCGGCAGGGCAGGACCUUGAAGACCACGCGGUUCAACUUCCAGUUUGCAGAUGUGGAAACGGAAGCCCAGAGAGGGUAUGCCACCGGCGCAAGGUUACACAGCUGGUUAGUGGCCUGCUCGGGCCUGGACCCCCGCGCUCCGGACUGCCCUUGGCCUUGCACCCAGCUUCCCCCUUCGAGGAGAUGACCCAGACGCCAAGUGAUCCACAAUUUUGUUUCCAAGACAACUUUCUCCUGCACCCCUCGCCGCGGUUUGCCGAGCCACCUCCUCUGCUCAACAUCAGUUGUGUUAAUACCAGUGAAGGCAAAUGGAUUUUUAAAGUAGCUGGAAUAAUACGCUGGGGAGAUAAAUGUUUUGCAGCAAAGUUCCAGUCAAACAUAAGAUCCGAGAGAAAUAAUUUUAGUCCAAUUGAGGUUACUGAUGCUGCUGUCCAGUCCCUGUCUAACUCACACACUCCUGCAUUCAGCAGGUGCUAGGGAGGCACCGCAGUGAGUGAGUGCACACACAGUCUAGGAACUGACUACCUGGGUUCAUCCUAGCCCAUCUCUGCCACUUCCCAGCUUGUGUUACUUAGUUUGCUUAUAUAUAAAAUGCUAAUUUACCUACC